rnacentral:misc_RNA from 1 species
CGAUGAUCUUUCCCGCAGCAUCGAACACCGGCUGAUACGCGGUCAUGAAGCUUUUGCCGAACAGCACAGCCGGCCCUUUGUAGGCCUGCCCGCUUCGGAGGACCGCCUGCGCGGGAUGAUCCGGCGCAAGCUGGGUCCCGACAGCGCGGUCGCCGUUCUCCUUCUUGACGUUGGUGGUCUUGCGGACGAACUGCCCGGUCGCGUCGUCAUACACAAAGAGUGUGGCGUUCCCGCCGACGUAGGACGUCGCGCGAUCAACCGUCGUGUGAUCCUUGAACUCCGGCAUCGCAGGAAUUU